rnacentral:rRNA from 1 species
UCCUACGGGAGGCAGCAGUGGGGAAUAUUGCACAAUGGGCGCAAGCCUGAUGCAGCCAUGCCGCGUGUAUGAAGAAGGCCUUCGGGUUGUAAAGUACUUUCAGCGAGGAGGAAGGCGAUAAGGUUAAUAACCUUGUCGAUUGACGUUACUCGCAGAAGAAGCACCGGCUAACUCCGUGCCAGCACCCGCGGUAAUA